GAUGUAAUUAUGUAAGAGAAGAAAGCAGAGAUAAGUUAGAGUCUAAAAUAAUUCUCUAAUUACCCAGCUUUGUUAUUUUACACGUUUCCUUCUAGUGUAAAGUACAAAUAUAAAUGUAUAAAAACUGACUGGGCAACAGACUGAACGUCACUUUCUGAUUAAUUUUCUAAAAAUACCCCAUGAGAUGAGAAAAUUAACAUGACAAGACAAUUGGCACUUCUGUUUAGAAUAUUAUCAAAGUACCAUUUUUAUUCUGAGAAACAACCAUAAGCGAG
rnacentral:lncRNA from 1 species